rnacentral:rRNA from 1 species
UAAAGAUUUUAAGGGCGUACGGUGGAUGCCUUGGCGAUAUCAGCCGAAGAAGGACGCGGUAAGCUGCGAUAAGCUACGGAGAGGUGCAAGCAACCUUUGACCCGUAGAUUUCCGAAUGGGGGAACCCGGCAGUGGUUAUGCACUGUCACCCAUACCUUUGAGUAUGAGGAGGGCACCUGGGGAACUGAAACAUCUAAUUACCCAGAGGAAAAGUAAUCAAACGAGAUUUUCUUAGUAGCGGCGAGCGAACGGGAAAGAGGCCAAACCGGAGCGGGCAACCGCACCGGGGUUGAGGACAGUCAUCAAGUGUAAAUGAGGUAGAAGAAUCGAGUUGGAAAGCUCAGCCGCAGAAGGUGAAAGCCCUGUAAUCGAAACCUUGCAUACAUGGGACUGUAUCCAGAGUACCACGAGACACGUGAAACCUUGUGGGAAGCAGGGGGGACCACCCUCCAAGCCAAAAUACUGAUAUCGACCGAUAGCGCAUAGUACCGUGAGGGAAAGGUGAAAAGAACCCCUGGCGGGGAGUGGAAGAGAACCUGAAACCGUAUGUCUACAAACAGUCGAAGUCUGUAUAUAUAUCAGGACGACGGCGUGCCUAUUGAAGAAUGAACCGACGAGUUACUGUUGCUAGCGAGGUUAAGUGGAAGACACGGAGCCGCAGCGAAAGCGAGUCUGAACAGGGCGUUCAGUUAGUAAUAGUAGACCCGAAACCGUAGUGAUCUAUCCAUGGCCAGGUUGAAGCACAGGUAAAAUUGUGUGGAGGACCGAACUCGUGAGCGUUGAAAAGCUUUGGGAUGAGUUGUGGAUAGGGGUGAAAUGCCAAUCGAACACGGAGAUAGCUGGUUCUCCCCGAAAUAGCUUUAGGGCUAGCGUCGCGCGUUCACCGCCGGAGGUAGAGCACCGGAUGGACGAGGGGGCUUCGCCGCCUACCGAAUCCAACCGAACUCCGAAUGCCGGCGGCCCAGAGCGCGGCAGUCAGAGCAUGUGGGCUAAGCUGUGUGCUCGAGAGGGAAACAGCCCGGACCGCCCGCUAAGGUCCCCAAGUUCCAGCCGAGUGGCAAAGGAUGUGCGUCCGCCCAGACAACCAGGAUGUUGGCUUAGAAGCAGCCAUCCAUUCAAAGAGUGCGUAACAGCUCACUGGUCGAGUGGACAUGCGCCGACAAUACACGGGGCUAAGCUGGACACCGAAGCGGCGGGAUUUUGAUUUACAGAAUCGGUAGGGGAGCUUCCCAUGGGCGGAGAAGCCGGAGGGCGACCGACGGUGGAGCGCAUGGGAGUGAGAAUGCUGGCAUGAGUAGCGAGAGACGAGAGAGUAACUCGUCCGCCGUGAACCCGAGGUUUCCUGGGCAAGGCUAAUCCUCCCAGGGUCAGUCGGGGGCUAAGGCGAGGCCGGGAGGCGUAGCCGACGCGCAGCAGGCAGACAUUCCUGCACCGCGCACGCGGCGCUACGACCGACGGGGCGACGGAUGGGGGUGGCUCGGCGGGGUUCUGGUCGUCCCCGGGAUGGCGCGCGGCCCGCGGCCUCUGGAAAUCCGGGCCGCUUUGAGGGCGAGGCUCCGGACGAAGCGAUUGAGCGAAGCGAGUGAGCCCGAGGUCCCUAGAAAAACCCCUAGGCAGGCGCGUGCGCGCCCGUACCGCAAACCGACACAGGUGGGUGGGUAGAACAUACCGAGGCGAUCGGGUCAACCAUGGUCAAGGAACUCGGCACAAUGGCCCCGUAACUUCGGGAGAAGGGGUGCCCGCGCGUACGUGAACCGGCUUGCCCGGGGAGCGGAGGCGGGCCGCAGUGGAGAGGCCCAAGCGACUGUUUACCAAAAACACAGGACUCUGCAGAAGCCGCAAGGCGACGUAUAGGGUCUGACGCCUGCCCGGUGCCGGAAGGUCACGCGGAGGAGUUAGCCGCAAGGCGAAGCCCCGAAGCCAAGCCCCGGUAAACGGCGGCCGUAACUAUAACGGUCCUAAGGUAGCGAAAUUCCUUGUCGGGUAAGUUCCGACCUGCACGAAAGGCGCAACGACUUGGGCGCUGUCUCGACCAU